AUUGAACGCUGGCGGCAUGCCUUACACAUGCAAGUCGAACGGCAGCACGGGGGCAACCCUGGUGGCGAGUGGCGAACGGGUGAGUAAUACAAUCGGAAUGUACCCAGUAGUGGGGGGAUAACUAGUCGAAAGAUUUAGCUAAUACCGCAUACGCACUAUGGUGGAAAGCGGGGGAUCGCAAGACCUCGCGCUAUUGGAGCAGCCGAUGUCCGAUUAGGUAGUUGGUGGGGUAAAGCCUACCAAGCCUGCGAUCGGUAACUGGUCUGAGAGGACGACCAGUCACACUGGGACUGAGACACGGCCCAGACUCCUACGGGAGGCAGCAGUGGGGAAUUUUGGACAAUGGGGGAAACCCUGAUCCAGCAAUGCCGCGUGUGUGACGAAGGCC
rnacentral:rRNA from 1 species